GGGCUCAGGUGGGGGCGGCGACUUCUCCCCUGGAUGGGCGCACAUGUACAUAUCUAAAACUUAAUAAUCAAAACAAAGGGAGACUGCUGCUCCUCAAUGGACAGCUGGAACAGAGGAAGCCUACUGUGGCUGUGACUCAGGAGGUAGAGUGGGUCGUUUGCUAAUCAGAAGGUUGCUGGUCGAUCCGCAGCUCCUCCCACUGCAUGUUGAGUUGUCCUUGCACAAGUUACUGAAGCAUACAUUUCUCUUGAUACCGCGCUCUAAGUGUGUGUGACUGUGCGUGCAGUACUUUGAGUACUUUGAACACUAGAGAGGUGGGUAGAGGUGCAGGAUGAAAGCAGCAUAUGGUAAAACGAGAGCUGGUUGGAACAUAACAGGUAUGUGGGAAAAUGAGUUAUUUCUGUGCUGUCAGCCCAUCUUUGUUUCUGCAGGACCAGCAUGUGUUCACUUACUGUGUUGAUUUGCUUCCAGUAUAAGGUUAGUCGUUAGUCAAAAAAAUGAUUCUGGUUCUGUCAGUAAACGCGUCUCUUGCGUCUUUGAUUUUGAUUUGUGAAAUGUGUGAAAUAAUGGAUUUUCACUGGAUCUUUCUUUGUGUGUAAUUAAUCUCACUCCUGUCUGUUUCUCUUAGGAACCAGCAGAAAUGAUACAGUGUGUGAAGUUUGUCAGCCAGGAAGUUUUUCACAGGAUGGUGUGGACUGCACGGCUUGGACUGUCUGUCCAAAAACCCAAGUAAGGGUCAAAGAAGGAAGUAUGAGCAGUGACGUUGUCUCUGGAAGUUCUUCAAGGAAUUAUUAUGCAUAUAUACCUCUAUUAUUAUCGUUUUUAACAGUUGCUGGACUUGUGACCACAGGCAGGCUAACAAUGAAAAAGGACUCUGUCUCCAGUCCUGGAGGUAGAUGACUCAGUUUGUGUUGUGAAAAAUAUUAGAAUUCCUCAGUGGCAACAUGAGCUCAGUGCUACCUGGCAUCUGCAACAAUAAUGGUCACUCUUUUGUUUUUUUAGAUUGAAAACUGAAGAGUGGAAAAUGUUCUCAAUUCCAUCUGAUAGAGUAAUGUUUGAUUAAAAACUACAAUAAGCAGUUACUGAAAUUAUUGAGACUUUUUAAAAAUGAAAGUACUAUUUGUGAGCUAUUUAUAAAGAUUUGUGUCUUCAGUAGGAACCAAUGGGCCUGGCGCUGAGAGCCACAGACAGUAUUUAGAGAUGGACUAAUGUCUAGUUUUGUUUUUCCAUGGGACUUUUUUCCAUGCUGCUUUUAUGUUUUUAUGUAAAGUGUCUUUGAGUAUUUAGAAAAGCGCUUAUAAAUAAAAUGUAUUAUUAUUAUUAUUAAAAAUAACAUAAAUGUUGAUGAAUUAUUUUAAUCCUAAUGGAUCCUAUUUUACCUAUACUUUUGUACUAUUUCUUUAGCAACAUUUUGAAUACAGGAUUUGUACUUGUACUACGUUAACAUUGUUGUAUUGCUACUUUUAUACAGGAAGAUCACUGAUAUUAACCACUGAUAUGAUAUGCUAUGCUUUUACACUGUAGUAAUGUUAUGUGCCUUCAGUGUUUUCUUGUGUAGGAGAGGGUAGGACCUUAUUUUUGUAAUAUUUUUUUUUCGAACCUAUUAUUUUUUAUUAUACUUUGCUUUGUAUUGUGCUUUUAUACUUUCUAAUGUAUUUGCUGUACAAAUAAAGUCACCUUGCUUUGACUAA